GCUAUGAGCAGCCAGCAGCAGGGUUUGCCUCACUGACUCCACACUUGAGGGACACAGAUUCCAACUGAGGUGGUUGCAGGAAUGGGAGCUGCUUGAAAGCAUAGGUGUGUGCCAGAUCCCCCUUAGAUAAAUGGUUUUGUCAUAAAACUUGCAGGCCCCAGGGAAAGGAUGCCGGCCAUGAUUUAGUUGUUGCUGUUUCAAAGGAGCGCUGGCCACUGCUGUUUUUGCCCCUCCACAGAUUUUUGUGUAUGGUUACUGUGUUUAUUGUGGAUUAAUUUUUGAUAUUUGCUUCUGUCAAUUUAUUUGUUUUGUUGUUGUUGUUUUUUUGUUUUAUAAAAAAAUAACUUUGUGGGG